rnacentral:rRNA from 1 species
UCUGUGGCUAUGCCACCCUGAGCACGCCAGGUCUCCUCUCAUCUCAGAAGCUAAGCAGGGUCAGGCUUGGUUAGUACUUGGACGGGAGACAUGUGCUGCAAGAU